GAUGAACGCUGGCGGCGGGCUUAACACAUGCAAGUCGAACGAAGCACCUUGAUUUGAUUCUGCGGAUGAAGAUCUUGGUGACUGAGAUGCGUACGAGUGAGUAACGCGUGGGUAACCUGCGUCAUACAGGGGGCUAACAUUUAGAAAUGACUGCUAAUACCGCAUAAGACGACAUCACCGCAUCGCGCAAGCAUAAAAACUCCGGUGGUAUUAGAUGGACCCGCGUCUGAUUAGGUAGUUGGGGGUGUAACGGCCUACCAAGACGACGAUCAGUAGCAGACCAGAGAGGGUGCCCGGCCACCUUGGACGUGAGACAGGGGUGGAACUUCUACGAGAGGCAGCAGUGGGCAAUAUUGCCCAAUGGGCGUGAGCCUAAUGGGUCGACGCCGCGUGAGGGAUGAAAUAUUUCGGGAAGUAAAGGUAUAUCAACACGGAAGUAAAUGGAGGUACCUAACUGAGAAGCCACGGCUAAAUACGUG
rnacentral:rRNA from 1 species